ACAGUGUCACGGCCGCCUGAGCUAAGGCCCAUCAUAAAAAAGGCGCUGAGUUAAGCGCCUUUUUU
rnacentral:sRNA from 1 species